GAGAUAUAUAGAUAACACCAAGACAACAAACCAAACAUGAACUUCUGGCCCGUCAACAUUGAAAGCAUUUUGAUUAGAGUCUUCGUUCAUGAUUAGUAAAUUAAUGACAACAAAAUAUCAAAAUUAACAUGUCCAACAUGGUUUCCUUUAUCUCACAUUAACACGAUUAAACAAGUAACUCAAUGAAACACCGUUAAGGCUCGUCGAAGUACGAAAUUUAUUUAAAAGUAGAAGAGAAUGGACCUUUACAAUUGCUUGACUGUUUCCUUCAAAAUUCGAACAACAAUGAACCUCUGACCGGAGCCAGAACUGCUAAACGGAGACCUCACCGGUGAGAUCGAACUGUGACUUUGAACCCGACCAAAGCUAUAGAUGGAGACGUUUGAUUGGGAAGUAUCAGCUACAACAAAUGGGUUUCGGGUUGGUGUUUCAAUGGGUUUUAGGGCUGUUUUAUUGCGUUUUUGAGCUGGAGUUUCCAGUUGGUUUUUAUGGAGUUUCGAGAAAGGAAAGUGAAGUUUUGUGUGGAUGUACAGAUGGAGAAGAGCUGGCUUUAAUGGAAUUUUAUGGCUGUGCUUUUCAUGGUGUUCCCACAGUGAAGGUGAAAGCAAGUAAAGAAGAAAGGAAAGAGAGAUCUACUGUUGCUGCACGCGAGAAGAAGAAGAAGAAGGCACUACUUGGAUUUUAGUCCUCAAAUCGUUCUCUUUUCCCGGAUCUAUUUUCUCUUUUUUUCAUUUCCCCCUGUUUUUGUUUCCUCCCUCUAUCUCUAUUUCCCAGGUGCUCUCUCUGUUUUUUACGUCCUCCAAAUCUAUCCUUUCUCAACCUUUGUGCCCCUCCCCCCAAAGUUUGGAGAUAUAGAGAUAACACUAAGAUAGCAAACCAAACGCGAACCUCUGGCCCGUCAAUAUUGAAAGCAUUUUGAUUAGAGUCUUCGUUCAUGAUUAGCAAAUUAAUGACAACAAAAUAUCAAAAUUAACAUGUCCAACAUGGUUUCCUUCAUUUCACAUUAACACGAUUAAACAAGUAACUCAAUGAAACACCGUUAAGGCUCGUCGAAGUACAAAAUUUAUUUAAAAGUAGAAGAGAAUGGACCUUUACAAUUGCUUGACUGUUUCCUUCAAAAUUCGAACAAGAAUAAAUCUCUGACCGGAGCCGGAACCACUAAACGGAGACCUCAUCGGCGAGAUCGAACUGCGACCUUGAACCCGACCAAAGCUAUGGAUGAAGACAUUGGACUGGAAGUAUCAGCUACAACAAAUGGGUUUCGGGUUGGUGUUUCAAUUGAUUUUGGGGCUAUUUUAUUGCGUUUUUGAGCUGGAGUUUCCAGCAAAUUUUUAUGGAGUUUCGAGGAAGGAAAGUGAAGUUUUUUGUGGAUGUAAAGAUGGAGAAGAGCUGGCUUUAAUAGAGUUUUAUGGCUGUGCUUUUCAUGGUGUUCCCACAGUGAAGGUGGAAGCAAGUAAAGAAGAAGGGAAAGAGAGAUCUACUGUUGCUGCACGCGAGAAGAAGAAGAAGAAGGCACUGCUUGGAUUUUAGUCCUCAAAUCGUUCUCUUUUCCCGGAUCUAUUUACUUUUUUUUUUCAUUUCCCCCAUAUUUUUGUUUCCUCCCUCUAUCUCUAUUUUCCAGGUGCUCUCCUUGUUUUUUACGUCCUCCAGAUCUAUCCUUUCUCAACCUUUGUGCCCCCCUCCCUCCCAAAGUUUGGAGAUAUAGAGAUAACACCAAGACAACAAACCAAACGUGAACCUCUGGCCCGUCAACAUUGAAAGUAUUUUGAUUAGAGUCUUCGUUCAUGAUUUGCAAAUUAAUGGCAACAAAAUAUCAAAAUUAACAUGUCCAACAUGGUUUUUUUUAUCUCACAUUAAUACGAUUAAACAAGUAACUCAAUGAAACACCGUUAAGGCUCGUCGAAGUACGAAAUUUAUUUAAAAGUAGAAGAGAAUAGACCUUUAAAAUUGCUUGACUGUUUCCUUCAAAAUUCGAACAAGAAUGAACCUCUGACCGGAGCCGGAACCGCUAAACGGAGACCUCACCGGCGAGAUCGAACUGUGACUUUGAACCCGACCAAAGCUAUGGAUGGAGACGUUUGAUUGGGAAGUAUCAGCUACAACAAAUGGGUUUUAGGUUGGUGUUUCAAUGAAUUUUAGGGCUGUUUUAUUGCGUUUUUUAGCUGGAGUUUCCAGCUGAUUUUUAUGGAGUUUCGAAGAAGGAAAGUGAAGUUUUGUGUGGAUGUAAAGAUGGAGAAGAACUGGCUUUAAUGGAAUUUAUUGGCUGUGCUUUUCAUGGUGUUCCCAAAGUGAAGGUGAAAGCAAGUAAAGAAGAAAGAAAAGAGAGAUCUACUGUUGCUGCACGCGAGAAGAAGAAGAAGAAGGCACUACUUGGAUUUUAGUCCUCAAAUCGUUCUCUUUUCCCGGAUUUAUUUCCUCUUUUUUCCAUUUCCCCCUUGUUUUUGUUUUCUCCCUCUAUCUCUAUUUCCCAGGUGCUCUCUCUGUUAUUUACGUCGUCCAGAUCUAUCCUUUUUCAACCUUUGUGCCUCCCUCCCCCUUAGUGAAGGUCUG
rnacentral:lncRNA from 1 species